CUCAAUGAAAUUUCAAUAGCCGCAAUAUAUUGUGCUAAGGUAGCAUAAUCAUUUGUCUUUUAAUUAAAGACUAGAACAAAAGAUUUAAUAUUUUUAUUUCUUUCUUAUAUAUUCAAAUUAAACUUAUCUUAAAUAUAAAAAGAUAUUUAUUAAAUAAAUAGACGACAAGACCCUAUUGAACUUAACUAAUGUUUAACUGGGGCAGUAAAUUAAAUAUAAUUUUAAUUUAAACAUUAAAAAAUUCUAAUAUAAUUAAUAUAAUCAAGUUACCAUAGGGAUAACAGCGUAAUAAUUUUCUAUAGAUCUUAUUCAAAAAACUAAUUGCGACCUCGAUGUUGAAUUAAUAUUCUAUUAAAUGCAAUAAUUUAAUAAGAAAGUCUGUUCGACUU
rnacentral:rRNA from 1 species